GAUGAACGCUGGCGGCGUGCCUAAUACAUGCAAGUCGAGCGAACGGACGAGAAGCUUGCUUCUCUGAUGUUAGCGGCGGACGGGUGAGUAACACGUGGAUAACCUACCUAUAAGACUGGGAUAACUUCGGGAAACCGGAGCUAAUACCGGAUAAUAUUUUGAACCGCAUGGUUCAAAAGUGAAAGACGGUCUUGCUGUCACUUAUAGAUGGAUCCGCGCUGCAUUAGCUAGUUGGUAAGGUAACGGCUUACCAAGGCAACGAUGCAUAGCCGACCUGAGAGGGUGAUCGCCCACCCUGGAACUGAGACACGGUCCAUACUCCUACGGGAGGCAGCAGUAGGGAAUCUUCCGCAAUGGGCGAAAGCCUGACGGAGCAACGCCGCGUGAGUGAUGAAGGUCUUCGGAUCGUAAAACUCUGUUAUUAGGGAAGAACAUAUGUGUAAGUAACUGUGCACAUCUUGACGGUACCUAAUCAGAAAGCCACGGCUAACUACGUG
rnacentral:rRNA from 1 species